rnacentral:misc_RNA from 1 species
GAUGAAGAACGCAGCAAAAUGCGAUACGUAAUGUGAAUUGCAGAAUUCAGUGAAUCAUCGAAUCUUUGAACGCACAUUGCGCCCGCUGGUAUUCCGGCGGGCAUGCCUGUUCGAGCGUCAUUUCAACCCUCAAGCCCCCGGGUUUGGUGUUGGGGAUCGGCUCUGCCCUUCUGGGCGGUGCCGCCCCCGAAAUACAUUGGCGGUCUCGCUGCAGCCUCCAUUGCGUAGUAGCUAACACCUCGCAACUGGAACGCGGCGCGGCCAUGCCGUAAAACCCCAACUUCUGAAUGUUGACCUCGGAUCAGGUAGGAAUACCCGCUGAACUUAAGCAUACCAAUAAGCGGAGGA